UUCCUGGUGACUCAGAUGGUAAAGACUCUGUCUGCAAUGCAGGAGACCAGGGUUCAAUCCCUGGUCAGGAAG
rnacentral:tRNA from 1 species